rnacentral:misc_RNA from 1 species
GAUGAAGAACACAGCGAAAUGCGAUAAGUAAUGUGAAUUGCAGAAUUCAGUGAAUCAUCGAAUCUUUGAACGCACAUUGCGCCCGCCAGUAUUCUGGCGGGCAUGCCUGUUCGAGCGUCAUUACAACCCUCAGGCCCCCGGGCCUGGCGUUGGGGAUCGGCGGAGCCCCCCGUGGGCACACGCCGUCCCCCAAAUGCAGUGGCGGUCCCGCCGCAGCUUCCAUCGCGUAGUAGCUAACACCUCGCGACUGGAGAGCGGCGCGGCCACGCCGUAAAACACCCAACUCUUCUGAAGUUGACCUCGAAUCAGGUAGGAAUACCCGCUGAACUUAAGCAUAUCAAUAAGCGGAGGA